AACGAACGCUGGCGGCAUGCCUAACACAUGCCAGUCGAACGAAGGCUUCGGCCUUAGUGGCGCACGGGUGAGUAACGCGGGGGAAAAUGCCUAUUGUUGGGGAAUAACGACGGGAAACGGUCGCUAAUCCCGCAUAAGCCCCUCGGGGGAAAGCUCUAUCGCCGAUGGGUGUGCCCGCGACCGAUUAGCUAGUUGGUGAGGUAAUGGUUCACCAAGGCGACGAUCGGUAGCUGGUCUGAGAGGAUGAUCAUCCACACUGGGACCGAGACACGGCCCAGACUCCUCCGGGAGGCAGCAGUGGGGAAUAUUGGACAAUGGGCGAAAGCCUGAUCCAGCCAUGCCGCGUGAGUGAUGAAGGCCUUAGGGUUGUAAAGCUCUUUCGGGUGGGACGAUGAUGACGGUACCACCAGAAGAAGCCCCGGCUAACUUCGUGCCAGCCGCCGCCGUAA
rnacentral:rRNA from 1 species